UGUGCUUGAUCACUGCAGUGAGGACACCAACCUUCCACGCCUUCUUCAGAUCAUGAGGCUUCUUGUAAGGUAGAGAACCUUGGUCCUUCUGCAAACCCAAUUGAGGCCACCAAUCCUCCUGUCCUGUGGGCCACCAUGGUGGUGGAACACCUUUCUCCAAUGGAAAUCUUCUCUGAGGAGGAUCACAGUGCUGCAUCAAAGCUGAUAAUAACGAACCAAGGGUGGUAUCUUGCAGCUCCUGCAAGGUGUGAGGUGUAGGACCAACUGGAUUUGAUACCUCAUUCUUGCCUGGGAUGGCAUGCUCAGCUUGG